GUAGGUGGCAAGCGUUGUCCGGAAUUAUUGGGCGUAAAGCGCGCGCAGGCGGUUCUUUAAGUCUGAUGUGAAAGCCCACGGCUCAACCGUGGAGGGUCAUUGGAAACUGGAGAACUUGAGUACAGAAGAGGAAAGCGGAAUUCCACGUGUAGCGGUGAAAUGCGUAGAGAUGUGGUGGAACACCAGUGGCGAAGGCGGCUUUCUGGUCUGUAACUGACGCUGAGGCGCGAAAGCGUGGGGAGCAAACAGGGAUUAGAUACCCCGGUAGUCCACGCCGUAAACGAUGAGUGCUAAGUGUUAGGGGGUUUCCCGCCCCUUAGUGCUGCAGCUAACGCAUUAAGCACUCCGCCUGGGGAGUACGGCCGCAAGGCUG
rnacentral:rRNA from 1 species